GACGAACGCUGGCGGCGUGCCUAAUACAUGCAAGUCGAACGCAGUGGGGACGGGUGAGUAACACGUGGGUCACCUCCCAUCAGAGGGGAUAACACUUGGAAACAGGUGCUAAACCGAUAUGGGUGGCAGGACCUGGGGUGCAUUAGCUAGUUGGUGGGGUAACGGCACAGCAAGGCCAUGAUGCAUAGCCGACCUGGGAGGGGGAUCGGCCACCCUGGGACGGAGCCACGGCCCGGACUCCUACGGGAGGCAGCAGUAGGGAAUCUUCGGCAAUGGACGAAAGUCUGACCGAGCAACGCCGCGUGAGUGAAGAAGGUUUUCGGAUCGUAAAACUCUGUUGUUAGAGAAGCGGUAUCUAACCAGAAAGCCACGGCUAACUACGUGCCAGCCGCCGCGGUAAUUC
rnacentral:rRNA from 1 species